GAUGAACGCUGGCGGCGUGCCUAAUACAUGCAAGUCGAGCGAACAGACGAGGAGCUUGCUCCUCUGAUGUUAGCGGCGGACGGGUGAGUAACACGUGGAUAACCUACCUAUAAGACUGGGAUAACUUCGGGAAACCGGAGCUAAUACCGGAUAACAUGUUGAACCGCAUGGUUCAACAGUGAAAGACGGUCUUGCUGUCACUUAUAGAUGGAUCCGCGCCGCAUUAGCUAGUUGGUAAGGUAACGGCUUACCAAGGCAACGAUGCGUAGCCGACCUGAGAGGGUGAUCGGCCACACUGGAACUGAGACACGGUCCAGACUCCUACGGCAGGCAGCAGUAGGGAAUCUUCCGCAAUGGGCGAAAGCCUGACGGAGCAACGCCGCGUGAGUGAAGAAGGUCUUCGGAUCGUAAAACUCUGUUAUUAGGGAAGAACAAAUGUGUAAGUAACUAUGCACGUCUUGACGGUACCUAAUCAGAAAGCCACGGCUAACUACGUG
rnacentral:rRNA from 1 species